AGUGAACGCUGGCGGUAGGCCUAACACAUGCAAGUCGAACGGCAGCACAGUAAGAGCUUGCUCUUACGGGUGGCGAGUGGCGGACGGGUGGGGAAUACAUCGGAAUCUACUUUUUCGUGGGGGAUAACGUAGGGAAACUUACGCUAAUACCGCAUACGACCUACGGGUGAAAGCAGGGGAUCUUCGGACCUUGCGCGAUUGAAUGAGCCGAUGUCGGAUUAGCUAGUUGGCGGGGUAAAGGCCCACCAAGGCGACGAUCCGUAGCUGGUCUGAGAGGAUGAUCAGCCACACUGGAACUGAGACACGGUCCAGACUCCUACGGGAGGCAGCAGUGGGGAAUAUUGGACAAUGGGCGCAAGCCUGAUCCAGCCAUACCGCGUGGGUGAAGAAGGCCUUCGGGUUGUAAAGCCCUUUUGUUGGGAAAGAAAAGCAGCAGGUUAAUACCCCGCUGUUCGGACGGUACCCAAAGAAUAAACACCGGCUAACUUCGU
rnacentral:rRNA from 1 species